UACGGAGGGUGCAAGCGUUAAUCGGAAUUACUGGGCGUAAAGCGCACGCAGGCGGCUUGUUAAGUCAGAUGUGAAAUCGCCGGGCUCAACCUGGGAAUUGCAUCUGAAACUGGCAAGCUUGAGUAUCGUAGAGGAAAGUAGAAUUCCAGGUGUAGCGGUGAAAUGCGUAGAGAUCUGGAGGAAUACCGGUGGCGAAGGCGACCCCCUGGACGAAGACUGACGCUGAGGUGCGAAAGCGUGGGGAGCAAACAGG
rnacentral:rRNA from 1 species